ensembl:lncRNA
AGAUACCGCUUUCAGCUUGUCUGAGAAUUCGACGAUUAUUAUGGGCUGAAUGCAUGUUACUUCCAGAGGCGGGCGGAGGUGGGUCAGGGAGGCAGAUAAAAGGGGGCGUGGCCAGAAAUUUGGAGUCCGAAGCCGUCUUUUCCUGUAGCACAAAUGGAAAGAGCACAUUCUUUUAACCGAUUACACAGGGAAGCGGAAGUGUGCUAGGCAGAGGCCCCCAGUGACUGUCUCCCACACCCGGAUGAGCUGGUUCACCUGCUGUCUCUCACACUGCCUUGGGAGCGCCGAGCACGGGACUGAGAACGGGAGGCCUGGCUGUCAGCACCAACUCUGCCACCAACAGAACACGGGGCCAAACAAGUGACUGCACUGCAGACCUGUUUCUUCACCCGUGAAAGAACUGAGACAGUCUGCAUUUGUUGACAACUUACCACGUGCCUGGUCCUGUUCCAGGCGUCAGAACCUCAACUCAUGAAAUGCUCACAGCGGCCUUCUGAGCCUCUCUAGAAGCAUCAUUUGAGUUCAACCUUCAAGAGCAAACAACCGGACCUUAGGAAUUUCAAAGGCAUUUGAUAACCUUUACUGAGAGAUGAGUCAGACUCAAUUCACAAAAUGAAACUUACCCGGGAAAGUCUCACAAACUCUGGCCCCUGAGUGUAAGUGACCCGCAGCUCCAGACGCGUGGGGAAAUGGACAGACCAGCCUCGGAUGUGAAGCCUAGCAUUUCGGAAUACUUUCUGUAGUGCCGGGAUUUGCAGUUAGACAAAGGCUUUGUUUACUCCUCCAUCCACCCAUCCAGCCAUCCAUCCCCAGAACCUGGCCAUGAGUACCCACAACACUAAGCUCCAGGAACAUAGAAAUGAAUAAGGGCUUAAAAGCACAGUCUCUGCGAGGGGUAGAGGAUACAGAGUGCCAGAAGAUUGCAUCAGAUUCACGUAUGCUUGUUUUCCACUGGGCAGUCCCUGGGUGUUAAAAGAGAUGAUCUAGCCGACAUGGCUUUCAGGGACUCCUUGCCUUCUGUAAUGGGUAGUGGAGCCCUGAAGCUGCAAGCAGCCAUCUUGCUACCAUAAAGCUUGCAUGAUGCAUCUUGAAGCCAAAGCGAAGCAAGCUGAGAUGCUGGGGAGCCUGCUGAAAGCAUCAUUUGAAUCUCUCUCUAAGGCGUGUCUGAAGCAAGGACUACCACUUCUUCUUUUGCUGCUUCAGCUAGUUCAGAUAUUACAGCUGCUUUCGUGUGGAUUUUCCAGAGGAAGGGAUCGUGAACAGACAGAAGUGAGACAAAUACCAGGAUAUUUAUCUUCUUCAACCAGAAGAUAAAAACCCACCACAGAAAACAAGAAUGAUGGGGAGUUGGAGCUUUGAGUGACUGAGCUUAAAUCCUGAAUUUGGUGAUUUCCUGGAAAAGGCUUCUUGAAAUCAGAAGACUCUGAGUGCCUUUGAAGUGGCAGACUACAGCUAGCUUGAGUCCAAGCAUAGAUGAAUAAAGGUACUCUUUUUGUACAUCUGACUUCUGACUGUUGUUGUAAACCCAGUGUGUGAAGAUGGGUAAGAUGUAAUUCCUGCCUGAAGAAGUUUCUAAUCUAGGGUGUUAUAAGGUGAGGCACUGAAGCCAGGAGUUUUCUGCCGUAUAAUUUUGCGGCUGACUGGUCUUGACAUUUUAUGAAUAAAAACAGUUUAUGCUUAUAAAUUGGGCUUAUGGGGGCUAAAGUGAGACUAGAUAAAGACAAGGGCCAGAAGAGGUAAUAUUCUACUGCAGAAAUAUGAUGCCAACUGAGAAAAACAGA